rnacentral:lncRNA from 1 species
GAGAGGUUUGCACUGUUACAGAUGAAGGCAACAUAUUUACAUAUGUACAUGUAUAUACAUAUAUAUAUAUUCAAAAAUAACAUCGGCUCUUUGGGGUGUCUGUUUCCUUGGUUGUCUCACGCCACUGGAACAUUGAACCCAGACAGACCCUAGGAUGUGAGGUUCCUGACUGCACCUUACGGACCACAGAGCCACGUGUCUAUUUCUGUAGACCUAUCUCCUUAGAUUUGUACAUGCAUUUUUUGCGGACUUGAACUUUGUUUUCUGAAAUUAGAUGCCAUUUAUGAUGAUGUGAUGUCAAUCAAAUAAAGCAUCAUUAUUUUCA